UCCCCUCCUCUGCCUCCGCCUCCGUCGCCGCCCCUCUCACACAAUUAUCCAUUAUCUCUAGCAAUUCUAGUCCUCCGUAUGGUCUCUACUUGUUUGUUGACACCAUACCUUCCCACCAUUAGGCACCAUACCUAUGGCCAGGAGCUCGCCUUGCCAUCUGACCUCCUCCCACCGCUCAUUCUCAAUUUGUUGCCAACUGAAAGCCUUGAUCCUUUCCUCCUAGUUUUAGCUUUGAGAUCGCAAGAAGCUACGGCAAAAGCCACCAGAUCUAGAUAGAUCGGAAUACCCUCAACACACGCCGCUUCUCGCCGUCGCUUCUCUCCAGAUCUAUGGUGGGCCUUGACGGAUGCCCGUGGUGUAGAUCUCACGGCAAAGCUGGAUCACGACGCUUGACCAGAUUUCCCCCAAUCCGGGAGAGAAGGCACAGCAUAUAAGGAGGUGAUUUCAGGCUACCAGAUCUAUAGAUGACAACACCCUCGGCUCUCAUUGUAUGCACAUCUCUAUUAUUGUACAAUCAUUGCUCACUAGAGCUACGGCGGGACUUAAGUAAAUCUCCAUAGCAUAAACCUAAUGACAAGAAUGGAUCAUGAUGCCCAACUAGAUCGACUCAAUACCGCAAGGUCAAGCAUGACACAUGAGGAGCAAUCGGGGCUACAGCACCUUCAUCCAUUUUAUGGAACCGUGAUUCCAAGAUGAGGCAAGUCUUGUGUUAGCUUUGUGAGAUGAACAUCCUUCUAAAUAUUUAUCUUAACGUGUCCGAUUGCUUGAUAUCGAAUAAGUCACUCUCUUAGAGAUUAGCCACUCUGAUUUAGUUAACAAAAGGGCAUUAUGAUUUUUCAAAUGAUUUCCUAUGGAGAUUAUGUGACUUGUGGGGAGAUGAUUAAGGUAGACCAUGCCUCAUUUAUACCCUACUAGUGUCUUGUGAUGUGUGAAGUUACUUUGGGCACCCUCCUCACAAAAAAAACUUUUUAAUACCUGGUGGAAUGUUUAAAUUAAUAGUGAGAAAUUGAUGUGAAUAACAUAUAUACUCCUUUGUUAGCGUACCAUCUGAUCCUAGCUAGUUCAGUCAAAUGAACUAAAUAAUUGCAUGCCUAUUCGUAGAUACAUGUCGUUUUGGACAUUGACUUUGUCUCUACAUGCACCUUUGAAUGUUACGUUAUACAUGAAUAUACUAGUAAAAUAAUAUUUGAAUUAUGUUAGGGGGGUAUUUUUCAUGUCAAUAAAUUGCUAGCUAAGGUAGUUAUCUUUUUUCUUUUGCUAAACCAAUCGGUUGUGUGUUCCCAAACAUCAACUCACUUCAUGGUGUUGUUAUUUAUGAGAACAGAUACAAGAACAUCAAAGAAACUAAAAGAAAAGAAACAUAAUAAAAAUAAUAUAAGUUGGGUUCGGGAACACAACCAAUUUUUUUCACAAACGAUAGCUAACCAUCUGAGGUGGCAAUGUUUUCAAUGAAU